UGAACGCUAGCGGCAGGCUUAACACAUGCAAGUCGAGGGGGUAUAGUUCUUCGGAAUUAGAGACCGGCGCACGGGUGCGUAACGCGUAUGCAAUCUACCUUUCACAGAGGGAUAGCCCAGAGAAAAUUUGGAUUAAUACCUCAUAGUAUAGUACUUUGGCAUCAAGGAACUAUUAAAGUCACAACGGCAAAAGAUGAGCAUGCGUCCCAUUAGCUAGUUGGUAAGGUAACGGCUUACCAAGGCUACGAUGGGUAGGGGUUCUGAGAGGGAGAUCCCCCACACUGGUACUGAGACACGGACCAGACUCCUACGGGAGGCAGCAGUGAGGAAUAUUGGACAAUGGGCGCAAGCCUGAUCCAGCCAUGCCGCGUGCAGGAUGACGGUCCUAUGGAUUGUAAACUGCUUUUAUACAGGAAGAAACACUCCGACGUGUCGGAGCUUGACGGUACUGUAAGAAUAAGGAUCGGCUAACUCCGUG
rnacentral:rRNA from 1 species